rnacentral:lncRNA from 1 species
UUGGAUUAGGAAACAAUGUUGCUGAGGUAAUAUUAGAAAUUCAUGAAUCAAUCUCUUAGUAAUCAAUACAUGAUAUUGUUACCAGUGUGAAUGAUCUUUGGGCUUAAAAGAUCAUCUUCUGCAACAUUUUCGCCAGACGUUGCAUCACUUCAUGAGGAGCCUAUGAUAUAGCAGAUGAAUAAUCUCCUUGUCUUCUAACUUUCUAAGGAUAAACACACCGCCUAAUUGGUGCGUUCGAACUAGAAGGCAAUACUAGUCACCAGAUCUGAUAAUUUUGUUGCAAAAAUAGUUUAAUCUCUAUGUAUGCUCAGACCUGUUAAAUGUUAGUCCUUCAGGCCCGGAUUUGGGGACCCCAUCUCUAUGCUCAAAACUGUUAAAUGUGAACUCCUAUAAUUAUUAUUCUUUUAUCCUUAGUUUGCAGUUUUAAUUAGGAGAUGAACAGUUGACAAAAUUGUAUAAACAAGUUACAGAACUGGAUGAUGCAUGUGUGUACAUUGGAAAUUCAACUCAAGAUGUUCUUGAAAUUA